GUCUCAGGCCGGAUCAGCCUGAAGGCGCCCGAUCUCGUCUGAUCUCGGAAGCUAAGCAGGGUCGGGGCCUGGUUAGUAUCUUGGAUGGGAGACCACCUGGGAAUCCCGGGUGUCGAGGCU
rnacentral:rRNA from 1 species